UAUUCUACAUCUAACAUGAAGAAGUCAGAGUGUUUGGAAACUUAAAUCUCACAUCUACAAGUUCUACUUCCAGCCUGAAAGCUGAUGUGAACACUGUUUGGAAGCUGGAAAGUCUUCUCUCCCAUCUUUCCCAGGUUCCCUGAAUGCAGCAUCAGUGUUGCAGGUUCACAACUGGAAUGUGAAAACUGAUGCACACCACAAGAGGGAGCCUUCAUCCUGCUAACAGGGAUGAAGAGGAGGAUGUGUGGGGACCUGUUGCUGCAGACGUUACUGAAGAGAAUGAAAAUCUCUGUCAGACUGAAGAGAAACUUUCCUGUUCAGACAUUUCUGACUGAGAAAGGAAACCUGUUGGCUCACAGAAGUG